ensembl:miRNA
UUGAGUGGCCGAAAAGUUUGUUUGGCUUUUUCCAUACCAUCUUAGGGAAAACCUGAACAAGCUUUUUGGCCAACCCAG